AAAUUUGUAGGAGAAAAAGAAUAGAUUUUACAAGAGAUGUUUGCCACUGGUUAAUCAGGGAAUUCCGAAGGUGAAUAUAUUUCCAAGCCAUUACACAAAGAAGUCCUGGAGUUCAUACUAAAAGACAAUGCAACUACGGAUGCAGAUUAUGGAUUGGAUCCUCAUCUAAUGGACACGGAGCUCUUAGAAGAAGUAAAAGAUGGUUAUGUGAACAGAGUGCACAAAACUGUGACAGAAAUAACCCAAAUAGAAAAUUUGACUAAGGAACAAUCAAGUUGCACAUUGGGGCAUGAAGAAGGACGUACGGAUCCGUCGUACACCUUACAAUAGCGUGACGCGAAAAGGAAAGUACACGUACAUAUUUUAAUAUGGAUUAUUUAUUCAUCCAGCAGACAAUUAUUUAGGUGCCUUGCCAGAUGGUGUUAUAGGCAAAAAUAUACUUUUGGAAAAAUGCCCAUAUGCGGCCAUAUUCGUCACACUCAUAAAAAAGUAGACUUUGCAACAAUUGUAAAUAAUAAAUUCACCCUUAAACGCAAUCUCAACUAGUAUUAUCAGGUUCAAGGGCAACUCUACGAUGCUAAUAAACAAAGUUGCUUCUUUGUUUUUUUAGACGCCAAAGGGAAUCCUAUAUGAAAAAAUUUACAGACACAACAAAUUUUAUACUGACAAUCCAACUCGAAAAUUCUUAACCAAUACAAUGGCAGAAUUGUUUGAAAUUUGUCCAGUGGCAUUCACCGAAAAAUUUUUUCAAAUAUAAUAUAACAAGUGGUCUGAUUUUUUUCGACAAAAUUUGUGACACAAAUUACCGAGUAGCUGUUGCGACGAAAAUCACACGAGUCGACGAAGGAGACGAGUGUGAUUUUCCAAAAGCAACAGCUACGAGUUAAUUUUCACACAAAUUUUGCAGAAAAAAUCAGAUCACGAGUUAUAUUCGGCUUGACAAUCCAAAGAGAAAAUUUUUAUUUACUUUUUACGGACAAUAAUUCACAUAAUUUAUAGUUAGCGUAGUAGUUGAGUAACCAUACCUACCUAGUCUAAAUAGUAACAAAAUAACAAGGCAAAACGUAAAUAAAUUUCUAAACAUCAAAUUUUGUGUGUGCUGCUGGUUGAUUUUCUUGAUUAUGGGAGCAAGAUUUGAUAACAAAACUGUGUUUGAAAUUCGAAAUGCAGUGAAAGAAAGUCAGUGCCGAAAGACCGCAAGAACGCACGAUUCAAUUUGGAAGCAGAGUACAGAAUUUUCAGUUGAAAUGAACGAGGUGGUCAGUAUUUUGGAAGAUUAUGCCUUUAACGCCAACAGAAAAGUAAUUUGUAUUAUUGUUUUUUUUUAUUAAAGUUCAUUUGACAAGUUUGACAAAUUAAUUUGACAUAAUUUAUUUCGCUGAAAAACAGUGUUGUUGCCUGACAGAAGAAUGUUUUUUCACUGAAAAAAUUUUUCGGUGAAUGCCAUUGGACAAAUUUCAAACAAUUCUGCCAUUGUAUUGGUUA